rnacentral:rRNA from 1 species
GAUGAACGCUAGCUACAGGCUUAACACAUGCAAGUCGAGGGGCAGCAUGUCGGUUGCUUGCAACCGAUGAUGGCGACCGGCGCACGGGUGAGUAACGCGUAUCCAACCUGCCUCUUACCAGGGAAUAACCCGUCGAAAGGCGGACUAAUGCUCUAUGCCCUCCGCGGCAGACAUCUAAUGUGGAGGAAAGAUUCAUCGGUAAGUGGUGGGGAUGCGUCUGAUUAGCUUGUUGGCGGGGUAACGGCCCACCAAGGCAACGAUCAGUAGGGGUUCUGAGAGGAAGGUCCCCCACAUUGGAACUGAGACACGGUCCAAACUCCUACGGGAGGCAGCAGUGAGGAAUAUUGGUCAAUGGGCGGAAGCCUGAACCAGCCAAGUAGCGUGCAGGACGACUGCCCUAUGGGUUGUAAACUGCUUUUAUGCGGGGAUAAAUGACACUACGUGUAGUGUUUUGCAGGUACCGCAUGAAUAAGGACCGGCUAAUUCCGUGCCAGCAGCCGCCGUAAGAC